rnacentral:rRNA from 1 species
CCCUUAGAUGUUCUGGGCCGCACGCGUGCUACACUGAGUGGAUCAGCGGGUCAGGUUGCGCGAAAGCGUUUCCUAAUCUUUAAAUCCGCUCGUGAUGGGGAUUGACGGUUGCAAUUUUCUGUCAUGAACGAGGAAUACCUUGUAAGCGCGGGUCAUCAUCCCGCGCUGAAUACGUCCCUGCCCUUUGUACACACCGCCCGUCGCUCCUACCGAUUGGACGCUGCGGUGAAGACCUGGGAUUGAGAAGGGGGGUUUGGAGGUUUUCGGAUUUCCAGCCCCUCGUCCCGAGAACUCGUCUGAACCCCAUCGUCUAGAGGAAGAAGAAGUCGUAACA